rnacentral:rRNA from 1 species
AAGGAGAAAAAUUUUCGGCACAAUGAGGAGAGACCCUGAUCCACCCAUCCCGCGUGAAGGAUGACGGCCCUAUGGGUGGUACAUUUCUUUUGUAUGGAGAAAAACCUCCACGCGUGACUCUCUCUAAGUGUACUAUAAAAAAACACCGGCUCUCUCCGUGUCCCCCCACGCGGUAAUUAUAAUAAAAC